rnacentral:rRNA from 1 species
GAUGAACGCUGGCGGCGUGCCUAAUACAUGCAAGUCGAGCGAACGGACGAGAAGCUUGCUUCUCUGAUGUUAGCGGCGGACGUGUUAUUAACACGUUGAUAACCUACCUAUAAGACUGGGAUAACUUCGGGAAACCGGAGCUAAUACCGGAUAAUAUUUUGAACCUCUUGGUUCAAACGUGAAAGACGGUCUUGCUGUCACCUAUAGAUGGAUCCGCGCUGCAUUAGCUAGUUGGUAAGGUAACGGCUUACCAAGGCAACGAUGCAUAGCCGACCUGAGAGGGUGAUCGGCAACACUGGAACUGAGACACGGUCCAGACUCCUACGGGAGGCAGCAGUAGGGAAUCUUCCGCAAUGGGCGAAAGCCUGACGGAGCAACGCCGCGUGAGUGAUGAAGGUCUUCGGAUCGUAAAACUCUGUUAUUAGGGAAGAACAUAUGUGUAAGUAACUGUGCAAAUCUUGACGGUACCUAAACAGAAAGCAACGGCUAACUACGUG